AAAUCCAUUAACAAUGCUUUAAUCAGAUAUAUUAAUGCAAAUGAAUAAAUACAAUUAAUUUACUUUAAUUUAAGGGUGAAAACAUUUUCAAAAUUUUCGCAAUAGAUCAAUCGAUUUCGCCAUAUUUUUUCACAGUUUCCUAUUGACAUGUAUAUUUCCUAUUGUGCCGGAAGGCACCAUUUUAAAAUUUAGGAGACACCGCCCCAUUCCUGAUUGUUUCAAUGGCGAGCCGUAGCCGGAAAUAACGUAAUUUCCCCGCGACAGGGAAACACUAUCGCUGGCGGUCAAAUUACAGAAAAAUAGAAAUUUGUGUGAACAUUAACUAAAUUAUACGAACUAUAACUGACUUCCUGGGAUAAAUUCCACGUUUGGUUGUGUGUGUUGACAACAGGUUUGACGAAGUUGCACGUGAAAAUGCAUUCAGUCACCAUUAUUCAUGGAUGAGCUGUCUGCAAGCUAAGGAUCGAGGAGGUUUUGAACGGACACGCAGCCGACAGACGCAAAGUUGUGGGACACGUGGACGGCUCUGCGCUACGAUGACGAGGACAACCUGCUUUUGGACAGAGUGGACUGUAAAGUGUGGACACCAGUGCAAACCAUCAAACUUGUCCCCAACUUUUCUGGCUGCUCCAGUUUGGCUUCAGCACCUUCUGAUGUGGUCUUCCAGCUGAGGAAGAAGACAUGCAGACAGGUGCAUGAUCUUGGGGGGGCCAGGGUGCUUCUCCUCCACGAUGGCUCUUGUUCUGGAAGCCGCCCUGCACGCAGAGUCAAAAAAACAAAAACAGGUGAGCACUCUUCAAACUGCAGAAGAGAAGGAUGUUAAAAUGUUUAAGGCAAUCUUUGUUUUGCAGUGUCAAACCCAGCAGACGUGGCGACAGGCGAGCCUCGUACAUCUUGUUCCUCUCGCAGCUCUGCAUGACGUCAACAAGAGGCCGUCAAGACUGCACACAAAAAGCAGGAUGUGAGGAGUGGUUGCUGCAAGUCACCCUCCUUCAGAAGAUUGCCUUGAACACAGAUGAGCAUGCAGUAGGAAAAUAGUCAACUGAGGCCAGAAUUUCUAAAACAAAGACAUCUGUUAAGUUUUGCCAUACAGCACAUUUGACAAGAGAUGAAACCCACCAGCAAUGAAGAGGAUGUGACUCGUUUCUCUCUGGGACUUUGUCCAAGCGCUCACAGGAAGGAAAAACAUUUGAACAACAUUGUGAUGAUUGUUCAGUGUAUUCACAGAGUGGACUGUCAAGUGUGUGUGGACACCAGUGCAAACAUCUCAAACUUGUCCAACUCCUCAGGCUGCUCCACAGUUUGGCUUCAGCAUCUUCUGAUGUGGUCAUCCAGCUGAAUUAAAAUAAGUUGAACUUGAGCCGACUGAAGCCGGAAUGACAGUUUCCUCAUUGCUGAUGACCAUCACAAUCAAGACGAGCGCGUCGACCAAUGUGUCGUGACCUCCCUGAAGAAGCCAAAAAGACAUCGCAGGUGCAGGAUCUUGGGGGGGCCAGGGUGCUUCUCCUCCACGAUGGCUCUUGUUCUGGAAGCCGCCCUGCACGCAGAGUCAAAAAAACAAAAACAGCGUGUCAAACCCAGCAGACGUGGAGACAGGCGAGCCUCAUACAUCUUGUUCCUCUCGCAGCUCUGCAUGACGUCAAGACUGCACACAAAAAGCAGGAUGUGAGGAGUGGUUGCUGCAAAUCACCCUCCUUCAGAAGAUUGCCUUGAACACAGAUGAGCAUGCAGUAGGAAAAUAGUCAACUGAGGCCAGAAUUUCUAAAACAAAGACAUCUGUUAAGUUUUGCCAUACAGCACAUUUGACAAGAGAUGAAACCCACCAGCAAUGAAGAGGAUGUGACUUGUUUCUCUCUGGGACUUUGUCCAAGCGCUCACAGGAAGCGGAGCAUGAAGGAAGGAAAAACAUUUGAACAACAUUGUGAUGAUUGUUCAGUGUAUUCACAGAGUGGACUGUCAAGUGUGUGUGGACACCAGUGCAAACAUCUCAAACUUGUCCAACUCAGGCUGCUCCACAGUUUGGCUUCAGCAUCUUCUGAUGUGGUCAUCCAGCUGAAUUAAAAUAAUUUGCACUUGAGCCGACUGAAGCCGGAAUGACAGUUUCCUCAUUGCUGAUGACCAUCACAAUCAAGACGAGCGCGUCGACCAAUGUGUCGUGACCUCCCUGAAGAAGCCAAAAAGACAUCGCAGGUGCAGGAUCUUGGGGGCCAAGGUGGUUCUCUGCCACAAUGGAACUUGUCCUGGAAGCCACCCUGCAUGCAGACCUCGUACACGAUUUGUUACUCACGCAGCGCUGGAUGAAGUCAAAAGGAUGUCAGUCUUUGACGCAGAUCAAGUCAGACCUUAAACCAGGAAAUCUGCUUCACUCGUCGGUCCAAGCCGGGUUCAGGUUCUCCAGGGCCAAGAUGCUUUUGCACCACCUAGUGGACAUGAGUGAAGAGUAGUGAAGAGUGUUCAAACCCAGCAUCUCAGUCCUCAGGCAGCGGCGCUUCAAGUGGAGGUUGUCAUAACUGCACACAGAAGCAGGAUGUAAGGAAUGUUUGCUGCAAAGGCACAAUCUUUUACCAUCACCAUUGGAGAUGAAUGCAUUUUGGGUGUUGUGACAUGUUCCCACCUUAAUGAUGUCAUCACAGGAAUAAAUCUGUUAGCUUUUGCCA